rnacentral:rRNA from 1 species
UACGUAGGGGGCAAGCGUUGUCCGGAAUCAUUGGGCGUAAAGCGCGCGUAGGCGGCCCGGUAAGUCCGUUGUAAAAGUCAAAGGCUCAACCUUUGAAAGCCGAUGGAUACUGCCGGGCUAGAAUCCGGAAGAGGCGAGUGGAAUUCCGUGGUGUAGCGGUGGGAAUGCGCAGAUAUCAGGGGGAACACCAACAGCGAAGGCAGGCUCGCUGGGACGGUAUUGACGCUGAGGCGCGAAAGCGUGGGGAGCAAAGC